rnacentral:rRNA from 1 species
AAAUUGAAGAGUUUGAUCAUGGCUCAGAUUGAACGCUGGCGGCAGGCCUAACACAUGCAAGUCGAACGGUAACAGGAAGCAGCUUGCUGCUUCGCUGACGAGUGGCGGACGGGUGAGUAAUGUCUGGGAAACUGCCUGAUGGAGGGGGAUAACUACUGGAAACGGUGGCUAAUACCGCAUAACGUCGCAAGACCAAAGAGGGGGACCUUCGGGCCUCUUGCCAUCAGAUGUGCCCAGAUGGGAUUAGCUGGUUGGUGAGGUAACGGCU